UUUCAUUAUAGAUCAGGAAUUGACACACCAGAAAUGAAAGCUAUCGUGGUUCUCCUUCAGCAUUCAAGUGCCAUCAUUCUUCCUACCAUCCCUGAUAUUCAAAAGUCUAGACAUGGAGGUAAGGAACAAUGCAGGCAAGGCUAGAGAAAACCUUUUAUGUCAACAUAGAUUACAUGCUUUCCAAGGCCAUCAAGGGAAUGACCGAGAGACACUGCUGACUUGUAAAGAACAGUCCAAAUUUAGACCUCUAUGCACACUUUGCAGCAUGCCUACAAGCUACCUUCGAGGAUUCUGACUACCAGCCGUGAAAUCUGUUUCUCUGACAAGAAGGUUGUUUUUUUUUAAAGCAACAACAACAACAACAACAACUGUCCUCCCUAGCUAUGAUUACCAUGGUGAAGUCUCCUGGGGAACAUUCCCUUGUCAACUUCUUUCAUCUCCCUUUGAACUGGAGAAGGAUAACAGCAAGCUACUCGGCCAAAUGUCAUGUGCCAAAGACUAUUUAUCAAUAUCACGUCCGCUUGUGCCUUUAUCCAGGUCAUUUGAUUGAUGCUAAGUAAGUAGAUGGCCGUAUGUACAGAGGGAAAAAUUGAGCUUCUCAAACUGGCUGGAAUAAAAAUAAAUAAAUAAUGCCAGGAAUUGUUCAACCAGCCAUGGGAAUUUCCAUUUCCAUUUAUCACUGGGAAGAACGAGACAGUUCUUAAAAGCCGAUCAGUUCUAUUUUUCUAAUAAUAUCUGUUUGAUUUGCCGUACGGUUUGAUGCAAAAUUUUCUCGUGACGUAUGGCUGUUUUGACUGCCUAUUCUUUUAUGAGAUUAGAUUAAUUGGGUUAUUCCGUUUUUAACUUUAUCAUCACAACUGCCUAGACUAGAGCCUUGGGAAUGUAUAAAUACAUGUAAAAAGUAAUAAAUGCAUUUAAAAAACAACAACAACACACACCCUAAAUUUUAAAACUGAAAACAAGUCCUAUUUUCAUGCUUGCUCCAGUUCUUUAUACUGUACCAGGGGUCUCCAACCUUGGCAACUUUAAGCCUGGAGGACUUCAACUCCCAGAAUUCUCCAGCCAGCUGGCUGGGGCAUUCUGGGUGUUGAAGUCCUUCAGGCUUAAAGUUGCCACGAUUGGAGACCCUUAACUUUAUAUCUUAUUUCAUCUCUAGUCUGG